CGAUAUUGCAUCAGCUAGUUGGCGUAGGUAACGGCCCACCAAGGCAACGACGCAUAGCCGGACUAAAAGGUUGUUCGGCCACAUUGGGACUGAGACACUGCCCAGACUCCUACGGGGGGCUGCAGUAACGAAUCUUCCACAAUGCACGAAAGUGUGAUGGAGCGACGCCGCGUGUAGGAUGAAGUCCUUCGGGAUGUAAACUACUGUCAGGGGAAAGAAAGUUCUGAUCUACCCCAGAGGAAGGCACGGCUAACUCUGUGCCAGCAGCCGCGGUAAUA
rnacentral:rRNA from 1 species